CCUACGGGGGGCAGCAGUGGGGAAUAUUGGACAAUGGGGGGAACCCUGAUCCAGCCAUGCCGCGUGUGUGAAGAAGGCCCUCGGGUUGUAAAGCACUUUCAGUGAGGAAGAACGCCUGGUGGUUAAUACCCAUCAGGAAAGACAUCACUCACAGAAGAAGCACCGGCUAACUCCGUGCCAGCAGCCGCGGUAAUACGGAGGGUGCGAGCGUUAAUCGGAAUUACUGGGCGUAAAGCGCGCGUAGGUGGCUUGAUAAGCCGGUUGUGAAAGCCCCGGGUUCAACCUGGGAACGGCAUCCGGAAGAGUCUAGCUAGCGUGCAGCGUAUUAGGUUAUAACGCCCGGGCAGGCGGUGAAGUGCGUAGAGUUCAGGAGGAAUGCGAGUGGCGAAGGAGGCCUUCUGGACAGACACUGAUCAUGUGGUGCGAAAUCGUCGGUAGCACAUAGGAAUAGCAACACGAGGAGUC
rnacentral:rRNA from 1 species